rnacentral:rRNA from 1 species
AGAGUUUGAUCCUGGCUCAGGAUGAACGCUAGCGGCAGGCUUAACACAUGCAAGUCGAGGGGCAGCGGGGAGGAAGCUUGCUUUCUCCGCCGGCGACCGGCGCACGGGUGAGUAACACGUAUGCAACCUGCCCCUGUCAGGGGGACAACCCGCCGAAAGGCGGGCUAAACCCGCGUACAUGCCACCGGGGCAUCCCGGAGGCAGGAAAGGCUUCGGCCGGACAGGGAUGGGCAUGCGGCGCAUUAGGCAGUAGGCGGGGUAACGGCCCACCUAACCGACGAUGCGUAGGGGUUCUGAGAGGAAGGUCCCCCACACUGGUACUGAGACACGGACCAGACUCCUACGGGAGGCAGCAGUGAGGAAUAUUGGUCAAUGGUCGGGAGACUGAACCAGCCAAGCCGCGUGAGGGAGGAAGGUACAGAGUAUCGUAAACCUCUUUUGUCAGGGAACAAAGGCGGGGACGUGUCCCCGGAUGAGUGUACCUGAAGAAAAAGCAUCGGCUAACUCCGUGCCAGCAGCCGCGGUAAUACGGAGGAUGCGAGCGUUAUCCGGAUUUAUUGGGUUUAAAGGGUGCGCAGGCGGUCUGUUAAGUCAGCGGUCAAAGCCCGGGGCUCAACCCCGGCCCGCCGUUGAAACUGGCAGUCUCGAGUUGGAGAGAAGUAUGCGGAAUGCGCGGUGUAGCGGUGAAAUGCAUAGAUAUCGCGCAGAACUCCGAUUGCGAAGGCAGCAUGCCGGCUCCACACUGACGCUGAGGCACGAAAGCGUGGGUAUCGAACAGGAUUAGAUACCCUGGUAGUCCACGCAGUAAACGAUGAAUGCUGGCUGUCCGGGGGGACUGACCCCUGGGUGGCGAAGCGAAAGCGAUAAGCAUUCCACCUGGGGAGUACGCCGGCAACGGUGAAACUCAAAGGAAUUGACGGGGGCCCGCACAAGCGGAGGAACAUGUGGUUUAAUUCGAUGAUACGCGAGGAACCUUACCCGGGCUCAAACGGGGAGUGGCGCAGGCAGAGACGCCUGUUUCCCACGGGACACUCCCCGAGGUGCUGCAUGGUUGUCGUCAGCUCGUGCCGUGAGGUGUCGGCUUAAGUGCCAUAACGAGCGCAACCCCCGCGUGCAGUUGCUAACAGUCAACGCUGAGGACUCUGCACGGACUGCCGGCGCAAGCCGCGAGGAAGGCGGGGAUGACGUCAAAUCAGCACGGCCCUUACGUCCGGGGCGACACACGUGUUACAAUGGGUGGUACAGCGGGAAGCCAGGCGGCGACGCCGAGCGGAACCCGAAAUCCACUCUCAGUUCGGAUCGGAGUCUGCAACCCGACUCCGUGAAGCUGGAUUCGCUAGUAAUCGCGCAUCAGCCAUGGCGCGGUGAAUACGUUCCCGGGCCUUGCACACACAGCCCGUCAAG